GACGUAGGGGACGAGCGUUGUCCGGAUUCAUUGGGCGUAAAGGGUGCGUAGGCGGCGCGGUAAGUCGGGUGUGAAAUCUCGGAGCUUAACUCCGAAACUGCAUUCGAUACUGCCGUGCUUGAGGACUGGAGAGGAGACUGGAAUUUACGGUGUAGCGGUGAAAUGCGUAGAUAUCGUAAGGAAGACCAGUGGCGAAGGCGGGUCUCUGGACAGUGCCUGACGCUGAGGCACGAAGGUCAGGGGAGCAAACGGG
rnacentral:rRNA from 1 species